rnacentral:rRNA from 1 species
CACGUAGGGGGCAAGCGUUGUCCGGAUUUAUUGGGCGUAAAGAGCUCGUAGGCGGUUCGGUAAGUCGGGUGUGAAACCUCCAGGCUCAACCUGGAGACGCCACCCGAUACUGCUGUGACUAGAGUCCGGUAGGGGAGCGUGGAAUUCCUGGUGUAGCGGUGAAAUGCGCAGAUAUCAGGAGGAACACCGGUGGCGAAGGCGGUGAUCUGGGCCAGUACUGACGCUGAGGAGCGAAAGCGCGGGUAGCAAACGGG